AAACAGCUUCUCCUAAUUAGCAAUAGUUGCUAGUCAGGGUGUGGCAUCCUAGAAGAGUCCAGUUGAAUGAAAGAAUAGUGCCAGUCAAAGAAAUAGAUAGGCUACCUCAUACAUUAUUUUAAUUAACUAUCUUUCUCUUUCAGGUCUCCAAGAUUUUGGAGUAACUUUUUGUGGUGAGACUUGACUUUGGGGGUUGUUUCAUCUGACUAGAACACAUCUUCAAAAGCCAAAUAAGAAAUCAAAGCAGGAUGUAUUCAGCAAGGUCCUCGGUCAGCUCUUAGUCCAUGCUGACCAUAGCCUGGGUUCCAUGCUUCCACCUCUGAAAAAGAGCACCACUGAAACAUCACAUUUGUCCAUGAUCCUGCCAUCAGUGAUCCAUGAUC